CACGGGGGGAGCAAGCGUUGUUCGGAAUCACUGGGCGUAAAGCGCACGUAGGCGGAUCGUUAAGUCGGGGGUGAAAUCCCGUGGAGCUCAACUCCAGAACUGCCUUCGAUACUGGCGAGUCUAGAGUCCGGAAGAGGUGAGUGGAACUCCUAGUGUAGAGGUGGAAUUCGUAGAUAUUAGGAAGAACACCAGUGGCGAAGGC
rnacentral:rRNA from 1 species